GGUAGGUUACCUGACGUUCCCAUCUGUGUGA
rnacentral:rRNA from 1 species